UUCGAACAUCUGAUAAUCAUCAGUAAUCUGUAUCUGCGAUGAACAGUAAAACUCGCAAUAGGACAGCUGCUUGUGGAUAAAAUUGACGUUCAGCACAAUGAAUGGCCCAAAAACCUAAAGAAACUACGAGGAAGUUAAAUGCUGAAACAGCAAGCAAAUUUCAACAAAACAGCAUAACUCACCCAAGUAACAGCUGUGAUGAUUCUCGGACCACCAGACGCACCAAGGACCAUUUUCACAUCUCCAUUGUCAUCUGUCACAAUCAUUGGAGUACUAGCAGACAAAGAUUCAUUGGUUUGAUGGUAGUUUUUGUGGAGACAGUCAGCAAAAGGACGGCAAAGAGACGAAGCAACAGGCACAUUGUUCAGUCACAGAACUGGAAAGUUUUAAUCAUUGGUUCAGUGGACAAUUCAUCAGUAUUUAGAGGUUUUAUCAACCACUGCCAUUUUGUGCGUUGGUUGCCUUCGAUUCCCAUACUUAACUGAGCAAUUGUGGAGAUGUGAGAGAGCUGGAACAUAGUUACGUAAUCACAUGUUGAUAGAAAUGGUAAAAACGCGAGAGAAAGUAACAGCAAUGAAGACAGAGAUGUAUUAAGAAGUAGUGCUUGUAUAAAGGAUUCUUCAGAGCUAAAUAGUCAAGAAGAAGAGGAUUGAUGAGAAAGAAAGCUGCAUAUAUCAUGUGUCUUUUUGGUAUUAUCUUUAAAAGUUUCUAUCGCGGGAUUCAGGUCGCUUUGUCAUACAAUCAUUCUGACUCAUGAUGCUUCAAGAGCGAGAACAAAUUAAACAGACUAAUCCUGACCUAUU